UACGGAGGAUGCGAGCGUUAUCCGGAUUUAUUGGGUUUAAAGGGUGCGUAGGCGGGCUUUUAAGUCAGCGGUAAAAAUUCGGGGCUCAACCCCGAAACUGCCUCUAAUACUGUUGGACUAGAGAAUAGUUGCGGUAGGCGGAAUGUAUGGUGUAGCGGUGAAAUGCUUAGAGAUCAUACAGAACACCGAUUGCGAAGGCAGCUUACCAAACUAUAUCUGACGUUGAGGCACGAAAGCGUGGGUAGCAAACAGG
rnacentral:rRNA from 1 species